GAUGAACGCUAGCGGGAGGCUUAACACAUGCAAGUCGAGGGGCAGCACGAGGUAGCAAUACUUUGGUGGCGACCGGCGCACGGGUGAGUAACGCGUAUGCAACCUACCCUGUACAGGGGGAUAACCCGGAGAAAUUCGGACUAAUACCCCAUAAAGAUAUUUGGAGGCAUCUUUGAAUAUUUAAAGUUCCGGCGGUACGGGAUGGGCAUGUGUGACAUUAGCUAGUUGGUAGGGUAACGGCCUACCAAGGCUUCGAUGUCUAGGGGUCCUGAGAGGGUGAUCCCCCACACUGGUACUGAGACACGGACCAGACUCCUACGUGAGGCAGCAGUGAGGAAUAUUGGUCAAUGGGCGCAAGCCUGAACCAGCCAUCCCGCGUGAAGGAAGAAGGCGCUAUGCGUUGUAAACUUCUUUUCCAGGGGAAGAAAACCAGAUACGAGUAUCGGCUUGCCGGUACCCUGGGAAUAAGCAUCGGCUAACUCCGUGCCAGCCGCCGCGGUAAAAC
rnacentral:rRNA from 1 species